rnacentral:rRNA from 1 species
CCUACGGGAGGCAGCAGUGAGGAAUAUUGGUCAAUGGACGAGAGUCUGAACCAGCCAAGUAGCGUGAAGGAUGACUGCCCUAUGGGUUGUAAACUUCUUUUAUAUGGGAAUAAAACGUUCCACGUGUGGGAUUUUGUAUGUACCAUAUGAAUAAGUAUCGGCUAACUCCGUGCCAGCAGCCGCGGUAAUACGGAGGAUCCGAGCGUUAUCCGGAUUUAUUGGGUUUAAAGGGAGCGUAGGUGGAUUGUUAAGUCAGUUGUGAAAGUUUGCGGCUCAACCGUAAAAUUGCAGUUGAAACUGGCAGUCUUGAGUACAGUAGAGGUGGGCGGAAUUCGUGGUGUAGCGGUGAAAUGCUUAGAUAUCACGAAGAACUCCGAUUGCGAAGGCAGUUCACUGGACUGCAACUGACACUGAGGCUCGAAAGUGUGGGUAUCAAACAGGAUUAGAUACCCGAGUAGUC